rnacentral:rRNA from 1 species
UACGUAGGGUCCGAGCGUUGUCCGGAAUUACUGGGCGUAAAGAGCUCGUAGGUGGUUUGUCGCGUUGUUCGUGAAAACUCACAGCUCAACUGUGGGCGUGCGGGCGAUACGGGCAGACUGGAGUACUGCAGGGGAGACUGGAAUUCCUGGUGUAGCGGUGGAAUGCGCAGAUAUCAGGAGGAACACCGGUGGCGAAGACGGGUCUCUGGGCAGUAACUGACGCUGAGGAGCGAAAGCGUGGGGAGCGAACAGG